GUGGGCCAGUCCGACACUGGAAAGCUCGUUGAAGCUCAAUGAAAUCCAUCAAGCUUGCUUGGCUCUUAUUAAAGAAUGAAGUGAGGCAGGAAACAUAGGAACAACAGACUUAUUUACAAUUGAUUGCAGGCCAGUGCAGCAGGCUCCAGUUAUUUCUGCACAUACACAUUAUGGUGGGCCCGUGUUUGCUCUUCAGUGCUUUUAAAUAAUUCCCUUCCUUUUAAAGUAAUAAUUUUGUUUUUUUUCUGUGCUAUGGAUUUUAAGUCUCUGACUGUAAUCCUUGAUAGUUCUUCGCUCUGAUCGUGCUUAUAAUAGCCGUGUUUGUCCAGUCAAUUGCAUGAAGCUAAAUGUCAGCUAACAGUUUGCAAGAGAAAUCUUCUGUGCAAAAACCUCUCUCUUUGAAUCUCUAUUCUUUUUUUUUUUUUUUUUACCCAGAGACUUGUGGUUUUGAUCAGCAGUUUCACACUCAACUGUAACCAUGGUGAUUUCUGAUUUAACUGCAGUGCUGCAAUUGGAGAUGUAUAAAAACACUGGAAUAAUGGUCACAGGAAAGACUAUAAAGAGAUAUCAGAACACAUGGCUUGUAUCACACAAUGAUAAGAUAAUAAUGGAGUGUUAUAAUAAAUGCCAAUCUUCUUGAGACUUCUUGGGAAAAGAACCACAAAUCCACGGAUGAUUUGGAUACUUUAAUCUAUAUUAAGGGCACUCCCCUAAUUUACUGACCACUAGUGCACCUGUGCUUCUGUUCGGAAUUGUGCAGAGUUGUGUCUAUUAACGCAGGGGAACCCUGGAGCUACCACCAGACCAGUGUGGGUAUUCAGCAGAGAUGUCAUGAGUGGCACCAUCAGAGAAUGGAUAUGAUCCAACAGAGCAAGAUUGUGGUAGGUAACUUGCACUAAGAAUUCCGAUUUCUCUUGUGGUAAGUCAUUUUGUUGCUUGUUCUCAUUCCCAUUAUAUAGACAUCAAACCGCAGAAACCGCAGAAAUUCUCGUGCAAGAAGCCGAUUUGACAUGAUUUAAAUCCUAAUGAUGUAACCAGUGAUCUAUGGCUUACAUUAAUUUUACACAUUCUUAGUGGCUGACUUCAGUUUAAUCAAUAUCAGAGAAUACUAAUUUAUCACACCAGUUAACAGAUUAUAGAUUAAUAAUAAAUUUUGCCAUUUUCUUGUAGGAAUACAACAAAUAAAGAUCUGUUGACAUACUAAAGUCAAAUGCAUUAAUGAGAGUAGUAAUUACAUCGAGUUUAUUUUAUAUUUUGAGCUGGUAAGCAUUUUGUAGUGUUUCCUUUGCGUUUAUUCAUUUCAGUGCACAUUAUAAACUGAGCAACGUGUUUUAUCAAUCAGGAGCUAACUUCAGCUGGAUAGAUACUAUAGUUUGAAGAUGGGGGUUUUAUAUAUAAAUAUAUAUGUAGAGACCCUGAGAUUUGGGUGUAUUUAUUUCAGGCAUUUCCCCUUGGUAAAAGGACACCUAAGGGCCCUUUAGUUAACUCAGGCAGCUAUGUCCCUUGCUGGGUCCACAUUAGUUCAUGGAGUUUGUCCACUAGAUGGCACUGUUUGUCAAUAUAAAAGGGUUUAGCACCAUGCGGUCUGGGUCUG